rnacentral:rRNA from 1 species
GAUGAACGCUAGCGGCAGGCCUAAUACAUGCAAGUCGAACGGUUAUAGGAAUUAGUAAUAGUUUUAUGAUAGUGGCGCACGGGUGCGUAACGCGUAUGCAACCUACCUUCAAUUGGGGGAUAACUCUGGGAAACUGGAAUUAAUACCGCAUAAGAUAGUAAUGCUUCAUGGCAUAGCUAUUAAAGAUUUAUCGAUUGAAGAUGGGCAUGCGUGACAUUAGUUAGUUGGUGAGGUAACGGCUCACCAAGACUUCGAUGUCUAGGGGUUCUGAGAGGAUGAUCCCCCACACUGGUACUGAGAUACGGACCAGACUCCUACGGGAGGCAGCAGUAGGAAUAUUGGUCAAUGGACGGCAAGUCUGAACCAGCCAUGCCGCGUGCAGGACGAAGGCCCUCUGGGUUGU